rnacentral:rRNA from 1 species
UACGGAGGGGGCUAGCGUUGUUCGGAAUUACUGGGCGUAAAGCGCACGUAGGCGGACUGUUAAGUCAGGGGUGAAAUCCUGGAGCUCAACUCCAGAACUGCCUUUGAUACUGAGGAUCUCGAGUCCGGGAGAGGUGAGUGGAACUCCGAGUGUAGAGGUGAAAUUCGUAGAUAUUCGGAAGAACACCAGUGGCGAAGGCGGCUCACUGGCCCGGUACUGACGCUGAGGUGCGAAAGCGUGGGGAGCAAACAGG